rnacentral:piRNA from 1 species
UAGGAUGUAAACCACGGUGUGGGCUGAUGA